rnacentral:rRNA from 1 species
ACACGUGCUACAAUAGGGUGUACAGAAAGCUGCGAUACGGUGACGUGGAGCAAAUCUACAAAACCACCUCCCAGUUCGGAUUGUUCUCUGCAACUCGAGAACAUGAAGUUGGAAUCGCUAGUAAUCGUAGAUCAGCAAUGCUACGGUGAAUACGUUCCCGGGUCUU